rnacentral:rRNA from 1 species
UACGGAAGGUUCGGGCGUUAUCCGGAUUUAUUGGGUUUAAAGGGAGCGCAGGCGGCAGUCCAAGCGUGACGUUAAAUGUCGGGGCUCACCCCCGUUGUGCGUCGCGAACUGUUCUGCUUGAGUAGGCGGCAGGGAGGCGGAAUUCGCGGUGUAGCGGUGAAAUGCUUAGAUAUCGCGAGGAACUCCGAUAGCGCAGGCAGCCUCCCGUUGCCUUACUGACGCUCAUGCUCGAAGGUGCGGGUAUC